rnacentral:rRNA from 1 species
AGCGAACGCUGGCGGCAGGCCUAACACAUGCAAGUCGAACGAACUCUUCGGAGUUAGUGGCGGACGGGUGAGUAACACGUGGGAACGUGCCUUUAGGUUCGGAAUAACUCAGGGAAACUUGUGCUAAUACCGAAUGUGCCCUUCGGGGGAAAGAUUUAUCGCCUUUAGAGCGGCCCGCGUCUGAUUAGCUAGUUGGUGAGGUAAAGGCUCACCAAGGCGACGAUCAGUAGCUGGUCUGAGAGGAUGAUCAGCCACAUUGGGGCUGAGACAAGGCCCAAACUCCUACGGGGUGCAGCAGUGGGGAAUCUUGCGCAAUGGGCGAAAGCCUGACGCAGCCAUGCCGCGUGAAUGAUGAAGGUCUUAGGAUUGUAAAAUUCUUUCACCGGGGACGAUAAUGACGGUACCCGGAGAAGAAGCCCCGGCUAACUUCGUGCCAGCCGCCGCAGUAA